rnacentral:rRNA from 1 species
AACGAACGCUGGCGGCAUGCCUAACACAUGCAAGUCGAACGAGACCUUCGGGUCUAGUGGCGCACGGGUGCGUAACGCGUGGGAACCUGCCCUUAGGUUCGGAAUAACUCCCCGAAAGGGGUGCUAAUACAGGAUAAUGUCAUCGGACCAAAGAUUUAUCGCCGUUGGAUGGGCCCGCGUUGGAUUAGCUAGUUGGUAGGGUAAAAGCCUACCAAGGCGACGAUCCAUAGCUGGUCUGAGAGGAUGAUCAGCCACACUGGGACUGGGACACGGCCCAGACUCCUACGGGAGGCAGCAGUGGGGAAUAUGGGACAAUGGGCGAAAGCCUGAUCCAGCACUGCCGCGUGAGUGAUGAAGGCGUUAGGGUUGUAAAGCUCUUUUACCCGGGAUGAUAAUGACAGUACCGGGAGAAUAAGCUCCGGCUAACUCCGU